UGUUUUGUUUUUUGUCCUUGUGAUAGUUUGCUGAGAAUGAUGGUUUCCAGUUUCAUCCAUGUCCCUAUAAAGGACAUGAACUCAUCAUUUUUUAUGGCUGCAUAGUAUUCCAUGGUGUAUAUGUGCCACAUUUUCUUAAUCCAGUCUACACCAGAAACAGUUUCUAUUGAGAAAAUGGAUUUUAAUAGAAAAUUCUCAUUUAAAAUUUGGGCAGAUAUCUGUAUUGUUGAGUUAACCAAAUGAGAAGAGAAAAAUCCUUACAACGUAGCUUGUCAUUUGCCUGACUUGAUGCAGACUGCUUUGCUUAGUAAUCAUGCAGCACUAUCAAGACUGUGUACAUAAUGUCAGGAUCCAUCUACAUAAGAUGUAGUAUGGACUGAUGCCAAGUGAGCCUGGGGUGGAAAUCAGAACUGGAUGCAAAUCCUGAUGUUAUCCGAGAACAGGCACCUGUUACAUAGGCUGUGUUACUGUGGCAAAGGUAAUGGUAAAACACAGACUGGCCAGAAGCAUUGUGUACAAUGAGACCUUGCAACUUUGUGUAUAUUAGUAUGUGGGGGGAUGUGAAUUAUUAAAGACAUUUAAAACUGA
rnacentral:lncRNA from 10 species